GGACUAUCGACUAUGGCCAUAUAUAGAGUACUUGUUCCAAAUUAGGUCAUCAUUACCAGUCUCUCACAUUUUAUCACGUUUCUAAAAUGGCGGAAGUUGCGGAGGAGAGAUUGUUUAGUAUCGUGAGGAAAAACAAGACCGAGAGCAGAGCGUCAAUGAGGCUGGAGGUUACACUGUCAAGUUUGCUGGCCACGAAGCUGCAAUAUCCAGAGCAGACUGUACCGUGCCACAAGUGGAUUCCUACAAAAGAACUGUUGGAUGGUUCCAAAAAGGCAGCUACUGCAUAUAAUGCUGAGCAUUGAAGCUGUCAAAACAAAGUUUAUUUCUGUGUUAAGGUCCACGCAUGUUUUAAGUAAAUUAUAAGCAGGAAAAAAGACUUUCUCUGAAUCAGAACCUGUGUUUACUUGGUUUUGUCUGCCGGUAGAUCAAUCUCCAGAUUUUUACUGAAAUCUCCCGAUUUUUUUGCAUCAGUCUCCAGAUUUUAUGUGUUUUGAGGUUGAGAGGUCUGGAACAUGGGUCACAAAGCUCUUGGAAUGAAGAAAAACCGUUAUGAAAGAAUUAGAUUAUAAGAAAAAUUAAAUAUGGAAUGACUUUAACAUUUGGCCACUACAACUGACGCAACAAAGAAGAAUCUUCUGUUGACUUGUAGCUAACAGUAGAUUCCAUACAUGGGUAAUUGCUGCUGUCCAAAACCUGACACCUCCGUUGGCGAGGAACCGUUCUUGAAAGAGGGGAAUUGUGAAUUGCAGUGGAAAUGCGUUGAUGAAUCAACUAAACAUAAACAAUUGUUUUUAAAAAUGAUUAAAUAUGGACAAGAUCCCAAAGUCAUGGUUGAACAUACAAGUGAUGUGCGUGUAAUUUUCUCCGGAGAAUUUUCAUCGAGAAACGAAGUGAUGGAACUCGUGUUUAUCUUGGACUGGAAAAAGAUGGUUACGGCAAAGCUGUGAAACGAAUACUUCGUGAUAUCUGCAUUGGGCUUACACAACAAGAAAAGAAAAUUUUCAAAGACAUCAUCGAAAAAAAAUCGAAUGAUGUUGUGAAUUAUUUUUACUUAGAUAAAGACAUUACAUCAGAAUAUGUUUAUUUAAUACUUGACCUGUGUGAAGAAUCGCUGGAGGAUUUUGUGCAAUCGGAAUCAAAUAGUUUGGCUUAUCGUCAAAAAUCGCUUCCCAAAGUUCUCAGACAAAUUUUAAAAGGUUUAGCUCAUCUUCACAGCGACCCAUAUCCUAUUCUCAUCUGGAUUUAAAGCCUUCUAAUGUUUUCCGAGACGCACAGGGCAAAUUUUUAAUAGCUGACUUUGGUAUGAGUCCAAUUUUUAAAGAAUGAAUCUAACACAUUAAAAAUAUCCAGAACUGAUCCACUGAAGACAAGAGCCAACGAGGAGAAAGUAAAUGUAGAGAAACAUGAAGAAUUCCAAGAAAACAAAAUGGAAAUAGCAAAAACCCAGCAGCAACAACCAGAAGAUUUACCACUGUGACCAGAAAGUAAGCAGCACUUAAAGCCAAAUGAACUAAUUGAAGGUAUUUUGUCUGAAAAUAGUUUAACAGACCUUCAUCUUUACCUGAUGACCUCUUUACUGCAAUAUAAUAGGGUAGCUGUCAGUCUAAAAGACAUAUAGAAGUAUAUCAAUGACCAUUUGUUAAUUUGUUUUGGGGAAAAUGAAAAAUAAACGUUUCAUUUGCCACAGA